AGCUGGACGACACUGGACGACAUUUUUCUCCCCGUCGAACGACUGCGGUUGGGACAGUGACCUCAUCGAUUUUGCUGCUGUUACACCUGAUUCCCCCCUCUGGAUGUUUCACUGAGGGAGCCGCAGUUUUGCAGACAGGAACCAACAUCCAAGAACAUCUUGAUUCCGUUACGACAAGCACACAACCCUACCUCCUGGCUGUAGGAUAAAGGAAGAAAGCAGUCCACCAGUUCUUCAUAAUACUUGACAAAAAUGCCAUCGCUUGCAGGUCGGACGAACUGUUUAAGCAGUACAUCAAUCAGCUUUUUGUGCCAGUAUAUCUGCCUGCUUCUCCAAACUGGGAACAUACCGACCCAAAUCUGCUGCAGAAUCCAGCUUUGACAUCGGUGUCUGACAAUAAGGCUGAGGGAACUCCUUUGGUUUGCAUGAUUCACUCCUCAGAUUUUAUUAUUAGUGAUUUAGGAAAAAUACUGACUUUGUACAGAAAUUGCACUGAAACGUCCCUCUAAAUAUAACACAGCUUGCAUUCUUUUCACAGGAGGAAGAAAUAAAUGUGGUUUGACAGGGAAAGAAAUAAUGCACAUAAAAAAUGACUAUGAUUUACCAGGUGAAAUUACAUUUUAAUGGGGUCUUUAUGCAACCAUUCAGAGAUAGGACUGGAUUUAGGAUUUUACUCAUCACUUUACUGACUUCUUAGAUCCUGGUAAUCCUGAGCUCAGAUCAUCAGAUAGAGCACUUGGGACUGACGAGCUAGACUGAAGACAAGGAGUAACCUAGACAAAGUGACUUCACUAAAGGUUUCACUCUGAAGUGUUAUGCAAAACAAAAGUUGCUGUAUUAUCUAGAAAUGAUCCAUAGUGUUAAACAUGUAUAUAUACAGUAUGUAAAUGAGUCUAGAGGAGUUUCCUGCUUGUUAAAUUUUCAUGUAAUACAUUUAGUUUUUGGAUUGUUUUUUGCUGCCUCAAGCUGUAUGUCAUUAUUUCUACUUGCCAAUAUACAGUGGCUCCAGGAAGUAUUCAGACCCUGUAACUUUUUGCACAUUUUAUUGUGUGGUAGAUUUAGUUUUAAAUGGAUAAAAUUGUUAAUUUUUAAAAUGCCCAUCAAUCUUCACCUCAGUGACCCAUAACGAGGUGAAAACAUGUUUUUAGAUUUUUUUUUUUUUUUUGCCAGUAUAUUAAAAAUUAAUCAUGUACAUCAUGUUUGCUUUAUCUGUUAUGUUAGUUUUCUCUUUAACUUCACUGGAGUGAAUUGAUUGGACAUAGUUUUGAGAGGAACACACCUGUAUAUAAAGUAUAUGUUCCCCCAAUUCACACUGCAUGUCAGGAGUAAAACCAAGCCAUGAGGUCAAGAACUCCAUUUCAUCAGGAACUGCCCAUCACCUGACUAAUACCAGGUGGUGGCAGCAUCAUGCUAUUGGGGAACUUCUCAGGGACAGGGAGACUGGUCAGGACUGAGGGGAGGAUAACUGCAGCCAAAUACAGAGAGGUCCUUGAAGAAAACCUGCUCCAGAGUGCACACAACCUGAGAUUGGGGCAAUGGUUCACCUUUCAGCACAACAAUGACAAGCAAACAGCCAAGAAACACUGGAGUUACUAUAAGACAAGUUUCUGACAGUCUUUGAGUGAUCCAGUCCAGACCUGAAGAUGGCAGUUCACAGUUCCCAUCCAGUCUGACAGAGCUCAAGAGGAUCUGCUGGAAAGUCUGGGAUAAACUUCCAAAUCUAGGUGUGCAAAGCUUGUAGAAACUCAAAGACUCAAAGCUGUAAUUGCUGCCAAAGGGGCUUCUACAAAGUACUGCAUUAAGGGUCUGAAUACGUUUAUAAAUUAGAGAUUUAAGUUUUUGAUUUCAAAUAAAUUUGCAAGCAUUUC